AUGAGUCGCAACUAUAGUGAUGAGCUGUGGCUCUUGGAAAAAAUCAAUAAAACCUGCUAGAGGAUCAAGAAGGGCUCUGUGCCCAACAUGCAGGUUGAAGGCGUUUUCUAUAUGAAUGAUGCUCUGGAGAAAUUGAUGUUUGAGGAAUUAAGGAAUGCCUGUCGAGGUGGUGGUGGUGGUGCUUCCUGCCAGCCAUGAAACAGAUUGGCAAUGUGGCAGCCCUGCCUGGAAUUGUUCAUCAAUCUAUUGGGCUUGCUGAUGUCCAUUCAGGAUAUGGGUUUGCUACUGGGAAUAUGGCAGCCUUUGAUAUGAAUGACCCUGAAGCAGUGGUAUCCCCAGGUGGUGCUGGGUAUGACAUCAACUGUGGUGUCCGCUUGCUAAGAACCAAUUUAGAUGAAAGUGAUGUCCGGCCUGUGAAGGAGCAACUUGCCCAAGCUAUGUUUGACCACAUUCCUUCUGGGGUGGGAUCAAAAGGUGUCAUUCCAAUGAAUCCCAAACACUUGGAGGAGGCCUUGGAGAUGGGGUGGACUGGUAUGCCUUAAGAGAAGGGUAAGCCUGGGCUGACCCCAAUAAGGUCUCUGCAAGGGCUAAGAAAAGAGGCCUUCCUCAGUUGGGGACCCUGGGAGCAGGCAACCAUUAUGCAGAAAUGCAGGUUGUAGAUGAGAUUUUCAAUGAGUACACUGCUAAGAAAAUGGGCAUCGGCCAUAAAGGACGGGUGUAUAUGAUGAUCCACAGUGGAAGCAGAGGCUUAGGCCCCCAAGUAGCCACAGAUGCGCUGGUAGUUAUGGGGAAGGCCAUGAAGAGAGACAAGAUUACAGUCAAUGAUCAGUAGUUGGCUUGUGCUCAAAUGGCUUCCCCAGAGGGUCAAGACUACCCGAAGGGAAUGGCAGCAGCUGGGAAAUGUGCCUGGGUCAGCCAUCCUUCUAUGACCUUCUCAACCCGUCAGUCUUUUACCAAGGUCUUCAACACAAUCCCUGAGGACUUGGGCCUCCACGUGAUCUGUGAAGUUUCUCACAACAUUGCCCAAGUGGGGCAGCACGUGGUGGACGGAAAGGAAUGGACAUUGUUAGUACACAGGAAGGGAUCCGCCCGCGCGUUCCCUCCCACCAUCCCCUCAUUGCUGUUGAUACCAACUCACCAGGCAACCAGGGCUCACGGGUGGCACCAUGGGAACCUGAAGUUAUGUUCUUACUGGCGCUGAACAGGGCAUGACUGAGCCCUUUGGAACAACCUGCCAUGGAGUGAGCCGAGCAUUGUCCCGAGCAAAAUCUGGACGUAAUUUAGAUUUCCAGGAUGUCUUAGACAAAUGGGCAGAUAUGGAAAUUGCAAUCAAUGUUGCUUCACCCAAAUUGGUUAUGGAAGAGGCUCCUGAGUCCUAUAAGAAUGUGACAGAUGGCCGGGAUAGAACCUUGGAAAACAGGGCUGCCAGACGCCACCGACCCUCUCUGAAGUGGAAGUGGACUGACAUGCUCUUCCGACGUCAGACUCAAGGGGGGACAGGUUCCAAAGUGUGCAGCCGGAAGUGCUGGUGCCAAAAUGACUGA